CGCCAUUUUUGUGCCCUGACGCCAUGUGAUGUGACCUGUUUUAAUAACUGCAGUGCAGUUCAUCGGCAUUUUUAACUGUUUCAGUUUUGAAUGCUAAACAGCGCGAACGUUUCUGCAGCUGUAGACAGCAUGGAUAUUUAGUGAGAUACUAACAGACAAUACUUCCCCGUUCUCAGUUAAGGGGAAAGGGAAAUGACACAGCUUGAAAUAAAAACUAUAUCUGCAUCUAAGCAAAAACUUAAAAUAAACACCCGUUCAACCGACUGAAGCAGGAUAGUGACGGGAUUGCCAUGGUUUCAUGUUUUGUUUUGUACCUCAGGAUGUUGCUCUUUUGUCGAGGCACUCCCUCAGUUCAUAAAACAUAAAUCAGGACUCAUAUGAUGUUGUUUUAGCAGUUGCCAUUGAAACAUAAACAAACACACCAAAAGCCUAAAGGAACUUUUGGUCACAUCCUUGGGAUUAUUAUAAUCAAAGGAUCAUUUU